GUCGUCAGCUCGUGUCGUGAGAUGUUCGGUUAAGUCCCGGCAACGAGCGCAACCCGUACUGCCUGUUACCAGCGCGUAAUGGCGGGGACUCUGGCAGGACUGCCCGUGUUAAGCGGGAGGAAGGUGCGGAUGACGUCAAGUCAGUAUGGCCCUUACAUCCAGGGCUGCACACGUGCUACAAUGGGUGGUACAGUGGGACGCGAGACCGCGAGGUGGAGCUAAUCCCCAAAACCACCCCCAGUUCAGAUCGGAGUCUGCAACUCGACUCCGUGAAGCCGGAAUCGCUAGUAAAGGCGUAUCAGCUACGACGCCUUGAAUACGUUCCCGGGCCUU
rnacentral:rRNA from 1 species